GGGCCUAUGGUCUAGUGGUAUGACGCGACAUUCGCAUUGUCGAGAUGCCAGUUCGAUUCUGGCUAGGUCCA
rnacentral:tRNA from 1 species